rnacentral:rRNA from 1 species
AUGUACCUUUCCCCUUUAUUUAUUUACAUGGGUUGUUGUGAAGAUUACCUCACUUGCGACAUUGCUUUCAAUGCGGUUAUGCCUCUAAGUCGUGCUUCGACCCGUGGGAGAUAUAGCCGCAUCGAGGGUGUUACAAUUGAUGAUGCCACUUCUGCUAUGCAUGAUACUUAUGAUGAAACUACCUCUACGCCUGAUACUACUGUGCCACUUAGUGAUUUCCUUGAUGAACAAAUUCCUAGGGCUAGAGAAAUUGAAAAUAUUGAAUCUGAUGAUACCGAUGAAAGUGAUGAUGAAGAAUCACUUGUUAUUCCUAAGGGUUAUGUUUUUGAUCAAGAAGCUUCUUUCGCUAUUUUAGCUUGCGAAAAUAGAAAUGAACUUAAAAGGUUAUUAGCUAAAUGGAGUAAGAAAUCUCUAAGUGCUAGAAUGAAACCUGACCCUGCUUUUGCUACUUCACCUAUCUGUGUUACUGAUAAGGAUUAUGAAUUCUCUGUUGAUCCUGAUAUAAUUACUUUGGUUGAAUCUGAUCCUUUUCAUGGUUAUGAAUUUGAAACUGUUGUGGCACAUCUUACUAAAUUAAAUGAUAUAGCCACCCUAUUCACUAAAGAUGAGAGAACCCGUUACUUUUACAUUCUUAAAAUAUUUCUGUUCUCACUGAAGGGUGAUGCUAAGAUAUGGUUUAAUUCUCUUGAUCCUGCUUGUGUGCGUAGUCCCCAGGAUAUGAUUUAUUACUUCUCUACUAAAUAUUUCCCUGCUCAUAGGAAACAAGCUGCUUUAAGGGAUAUAUAUAAUUUUGUGCAAAUUGAAGAAGAGAGUCUCCCACAAGCUUGGGGGAGGCUUCUCCAAUUACUGAAUGCUUUGCCUGAUCAUCCUCUUAAGAAAAAUGAAAUACUUGAUAUCUUUUAUAAUGGACUAACCGAUGCCUCCAGAGAUUAUCUGAAUAGCUGUGCUAGUUCUGUUUUCAGGGAAAGAACACCGGAUGAAGCUGAAAUUCUAUUGAACAAUAUGUUGACAAAUGAAAAUAAUUGGACACCUCCGGAGCCAAUUCCUGAGCCUAUUCCUAAACCAACUCCGAAGAAGAGGGGUAUUCUAUUUCUCAGUCCUGAAGAUAUGCAAGAGGCAAAGAAAUCUAUGAAAGGAAAAUGUAUUAAAGCUAAAGAUGUUAAGAAUUUACCUUAA